AGAAUAUAAAUAUUUAAGUACCAGAAAUACGUUUGAAUGAUUAUCAUAAUAGUUGUGACUUCUUUGACGAUAACACCACACCACUGAAAAACAAAAUGGUGCGGUUUACAUUGAUACUGAGUAUUUUUCUUAUUGGCAGCCUCGUUGUUUUAGCCAAGCCUACAGAAAAGAGUUUUGAGGAACAAGUUAAAGAAUGUGAAACUUACGGGGGCAGGGUUAUUUACGAUUCAAGUGUAAAAUGUCCCACAUACCAAUGUAUUCUGGAUGAAGGAUCCGAAUGGCCAGACUUAAACCCAACUAAAAAAUGUGAAUCCUAAACGCGUAUAGUAUUAAUAAUAUGCUUUUUUUGUUUCAAUAAAAUAUUAAGUAGUAAAA